rnacentral:rRNA from 1 species
UAGGGAAUCUUCCGCAAUGGACGAAAGUCUGACGGAGCAACGCCGCGUGAGUGAUGAAGGCUUUCGGGUCGUAAAACUCUGUUGUUAGGGAAGAACAAGUACGAGAGUAACUGCUCGUACCUUGACGGUACCUAACCAGAAAGCCACGGCUAACUACGUGCCAGCAGCCGCGGUAAUACGUAGGUGGCAAGCGUUAUCCGGAAUUAUUGGGCGUAAAGCGCGCGCAGGCGGUUUCUUAAGUCUGAUGUGAAAGCCCACGGCUCAACCGUGGAGGGUCAUUGGAAACUGGGGAACUUGAGUGCAGAAGAGAAAAGCGGAAUUCCACGUGUAGCGGUGAAAUGCGUAGAGAUGUGGAGGAACACCAGUGGCGAAGGCGGCUUUUUGGUCUGUAACUGACGCUGAGGCGCGAAAGCGUGGGGAGCAAACAGGAUUAGAUACCCUGGUAGUCCACGCCGUAAACGAUGAGUGCUAAGUGUUAGAGGGUUUCCGCCCUUUAGUGCUGCAGCUAACGCAUUAAGCACUCCGCCUGGGGAGUACGGUCGCAAGACUGC